rnacentral:rRNA from 1 species
CAGUAGCCGCGGUAAUACGUAGGUGGCAAGCGUUGUCCGGAAUUAUUGGGCGUAAAGGGCUCGCAGGCGGUUUCUUAAGUCUGAUGUGAAAGCCCCCGGCUCAACCGGGGAGGGUCAUUGGAAACUGGGAAACUUGAGUGCAGAGGAGGAGAGUGGAAUUCCACGUGUAGCGGUGAAAUGCGUAGAGAUGUGGAGGAACACCAGUGGCGAAGGCGACUCUCUGGUCUGUAACUGACGCUGAGGAGCGAAAGCGUGGGGAGCGAACAGGAUUAGAUACCCGUGUAGUCCCUGUCUCUUAUAC